UACGUAGGGUGCAAGCGUUAAUCGGAAUUACUGGGCGUAAAGGGCGCGUAGGCGGUGCCUCAAGUCAGGCGUGAAAGCCCCGGGCUCAACCUGGGAACCGCGCUUGAGACUGGAGUACUAGAGUUCGGGAGAGGAUGGUGGAAUUCCCAGUGUAGAGGUGAAAAUUCGUAGAUAUUGGGAAGAACACCGAUGGCGAAAGGCAGCC
rnacentral:rRNA from 1 species